rnacentral:rRNA from 1 species
UACGUAGGGUGCGAGCGUUGUCCGGAAUUAUUGGGCGUAAAGAGCUCGUAGGCGGUUUGUUGCGUCGGCCGUGAAAACCUGCAGCUUAACUGUGGGCCUGCGGCCGAUACGGGCAGACUUGAGUUCGGUAGGGGAGACUGGAAUUCCUGGUGUAGCGGUGAAAUGCGCAGAUAUCAGGAGGAACACCGGUGGCGAAGGCGGGUCUCUGGGCCGAUACUGACGCUGAGGAGCGAAAGCGUGGGGAGCGAACAGG